GCAAAGCAGCAGUACGCCAGUUCCUAGUUGUAAGAUUGAAGAACAUCAAUCUGAAGAACUCCAUUAUCACAUCCUUUAUGUUCUUCAAGGUAUGUACAAGGAAGCAUCUGAGGAUGUUUUAAAAGAACGGGUGGAUCAAAUCGAAGAAAAAGCCGCCGGUAGGCUAGCUAACGCCAAAAAUGUGCGUUCUCUGACAUCGAAAGUCAAGGAUGUAGAUGCAAAGCUCCCACCCUUGGUAAUUGAGACA